UGCCUUUUCUUGACUCAAUAUCUAUCCAAAAUUUUAAUGAGAUUUUCUUUGAUUUCAACGAUAAGUUAGUUAAAAUACGAAUGUUACCAUGUAUCACUGGGACCAUCCGAGAAGCCUGGAUAUCUUGGGAGGAUGGAAUCACCCAAAAAUGGUAACUUACAUGAGAGACUACGCUGACACUCUAUUUUUCCACUAUGGAGACAGAGUUAAAACUUGGAUAACUAUCAACGAACCGCAUAGUGUCUGCGUAGUAUUAGCACAAUAUCUGGCUGCACGUGUUGAUAGUACGUUUCCACUCGGUACUUCUGAAUAUAUGUGCGCACAUCACAUGUUGUUAGCGCAUAGUGAGAUAUGGGGCCUGUAUCAGAGGAAGUAUAAGAGGACACAAAGAGGU